UCUCCUACGGGGGGCAGCAGUGGGGAAUAUUGCACAAUGGGGGAAACCCUGAUGCAGCAACGCCGCGUGAGUGAAGAAGUCAUUCGUGAUGUAAAGCUCUAUCAGCAGGGAAGAAAAUGACGGUACCUGACUAAGAAGCCCCGGCUAACUACGUGUCAGCAGCCGCGGUAAUACGUAGGGGGCAAGCGUUAUCCGGAUUUACUGGGUGUAAAGGGAGCGUAGGUGGCAAGGCAAGUCAGAUGUGAAAACCCGGGGCCCAACCCCGGGAGUGCAUUUGAAACUGUCUGGCUAGAGUGCAGGAGAGG
rnacentral:rRNA from 1 species